UACGAGGGGGGCAAGCGUUGUUCGGAAUUAUUGGGCGUAAAGGGCGCGUAGGCGGUUUGACAAGUCUGAUGUGAAAUCUCUGGGCUCAACCCAGAGUCUGCAUUAGAAACUGUCGGGCUUGAGUAUGGGAGAGGUGAGUGGAAUUUCCGGUGUAGCGGUGAAAUGCGCAGAUAUCAGGAAGAACACCCGUGGCUAAGGCGGCUCUCUAGUACGGUACUGACGCUGAGACGCGAAAGCGUGGGGAGCGAACAGG
rnacentral:rRNA from 1 species